rnacentral:misc_RNA from 1 species
UCUCCGUUGGUGAACCAGCGGAGGGAUCAUUACCGAGUUUACAACUCCCAAACCCAACGUGAACGUUACCAAACUGUUGCCUCGGCGGGGUCACGCCCCGGGUGCGUCGCAGCCCCGGAACCAGGCGCCCGCCGGAGGAACCAACCAAACUCUUUCUGUAGUCCCCUCGCGGACGUUAUUUCUUACAGCUCUGAGCAAAAAUUCAAAAUGAAUCAAAACUUUCAACAACGGAUCUCUUGGUUCUG